GGUAAGAUGGCUGAGUAAAGCAUUAGACUGUAAAUCUAAAGACAGAGGUUAAGUUCCUCUUCUUAUCA
rnacentral:tRNA from 1 species